GAAAUAGAAAGCCUAUUAUAAAAGACGUGCCGUCGUCCGUCUCUUCUCCAAAAAAUUUCGUCCAUCUCUGACGCAAAAGCCGUGAUUCUUGAAGCUUCGUUUCAAUGGCGACUGUAGAUAAGCAAGUAAUGGUAGUCGGAAUCGAUGAUAGUGCGCACAGUCUCUACGCUCUCGAGUGGACCUUAGACCAUCUCAUCGUUCCAAUCUCUCCGGUUAACUCUCCGUUCAAGCUCAUCGUUGUUCACGCCAAACCUUCCCCUUCCUCCGCCGUCAGUCUCGCCGGACCUGGAGCGGCUGAGGUUCUGCCCUAUGUGGAUUCGGAUUUGAAGAAGAUUGCUGCGCGAGUAAUCGAAAAGGCGAAGGAGAUUUGCCUCGCUAGAUCGGUGCAUGAUGUUGUGUUGGAGGUGAUAGAAGGAGAUGCCAGGAAUGUACUUUGUGAGGCUGUAGAAAAGCACCAUGCUUCUAUGCUGGUUGUUGGAAGCCACGGAUAUGGAGCUAUAAAGAGGGCUGUUUUGGGCAGCGUAAGUGAUUAUUGUGCUCAUCAUGCCCAUUGCACCGUGAUGAUAGUAAAGAAGCCUAAAACCAAGCACUAGAUCUCAUUGCAUUUACUCCUUUCCUCGGGUGAUAGUGGGAUCCCAAAGGAUAUCGUAGUUUGGAGAAUCCUACAAAUUUGUAUAUCAUCAAAUAAAUGAAGGUUUGGUAUUGAUGCGAAUCGUGAUGCGUAAAGCUCUAAUAAUAAAGCUUCUUUUAUUUGUGUGAAUUGAGAGUGGUUUAAGUUGUGGAAAUUUUCAAAGUCCUCUGUUCUGCUCUGUCUUGUGUCUUGAGUAGGGUUCUGUGAACUUGUACUGAAAUCUUUUUAAAGUUUGUUUGGGUAACCAAAUACCAUGUAUUGAGUUCCUUUUGCCAUCUUUUUUAGGUGGG
rnacentral:misc_RNA from 1 species